rnacentral:rRNA from 1 species
GACGAACGCUGGCGGCGUGCUUAACACAUGCAAGUCGAACGGAAAGGCCUUUUCGGAGGUACUCGAGUGGCGAACGGGUGAGUAACACGUGGGUGAUCUGCCCUGCACUCUGGGAUAAGCCUGGGAAACUGGGUCUAAUACCGGAUAGGACUGCACUUUAGUGUGUGUGGUGGAAAGUUUUUUCGGUGUAGGAUGAGCCCGCGGCCUAUCAGCUUGUUGGUGGGGUAAUGGCCUACCAAGGCGGCGACGGGUAGCCGGACUGAGAGGUUGGUCGGCCACAUUGGGACUGAGAUACGGCCCAGACUCCUACGGGAGGCAGCAGUGGGGAAUAUUGCACAAUGGGCGCAAGCCUGAUGCAGCGACGCCGCGUGGGGGAUGACGGCCUUCGGGUUGUAAACUCCUUUCGCCAGGGACGAAGCGUUUUGUGACGGUACCUGGAGAAGAAGCACCGGCUAACUACGUG